CGUGCGAGCCUCAGUAAUUGCUUCUUACACAGGACUCCUUGAAAUUAAGUUGUGAGAGUUAAAUUUGUCUUUUCAUCCUUAUUUCAACAUCGUUUGACACAGCUUCAGGGCACAUGUUUCAGAAGCUGCUUUUGACAGUGUGACCUUCGCUAUGGCAAAUACAUGGCUUGCUGCCUUUUGUAUAAUGUGGUGCCCAAAGAUGUGAAUGCUGCCAUUGCCACCAUCAAGACCAAGCGCACCAUCCAGUUUGUGGACUGGUGCCCCAUUGGUUUCAAGGUUGGCAUCAACUACCAGCCGCCCACUGUAGACAUGGCAGCCCUGGAGAAGGAUUAUGAGGAGGUUGGAGCUGAUAAUGUGGAAGAUGGGGAUGAAGGAGAGGAGUAUUAAACAGCAACACAAAGAUGGAUAAAGAGGGGAGGUAUAAAGGAUAAAUAUAAAAUAGAAACUACAAAUGCAAUAAAGAUGAGGUCGGAUGAUGGGUGGCUGAAUGAGCUGCCCAUCUGCCACAGCUCGUUCUGGAGAGGGUUAGCCAGGAUGACUUUGUGCUUCUCCAUCAUCCUCUUGUCUGCCACUCCCUGUCCAGUUCCAGCCCAACCACAGAGCUGGUCUGAUAACAACCCCCCUCCAAAACGGAUGUAUGAGAGGAAUUCCCACUUAAAACAAAUCCUUAAACUCCUGUUUUAGCUCUGGUGUUAAACAACUAAUAUUGGAUGGGAAAUAUAAAUAUUUUUCAAUGAUUUCUAAAAAAAAAAGUAAAGAUUUCUCAGUACACAGAGACCUCUGGUGGUGGUGGUGGUAGAGGGUGGAAGUGAAACAAAGGAAUAAUCAGAGCACAAUGGUUCCUGCACCAGGAACAGGUUGUGAUGGAAAUUUCUUGGAUGUCAAAUGUAACGGAACAUUAAGAUUGGGUUCCACAAAGGAAUUUAUUUUUUUUCCCUGCUAUUUAAAAUAAAUAUCAUUACAAGGUUUUACGGGGGGGAUAAAAUAAGAGCAGACAAUUGUCUCUCUAUACUUCAAAAAAAAAAAACAUUUAAUCACAUGACUUUAAGAUUUAUUUUGUGACCUUGAGGUUGGAAGCACCUGGACUAGACUUCCUCAAUCUCGAUCGUAUGAAUCGGUAUUAAAUGUAAAUAACCUCUUACAAUAAUGUACUGGUAGAUUUUUACAACUGUUAA